rnacentral:rRNA from 1 species
AUGACGAACGCUGGCGGCGUGCUUAACACAUGCAAGUCGAACGGAAAGGCCCUGCUUUUGUGGGGUGCUCGAGUGGCGAACGGGUGAGUAACACGUGAGUAACCUGCCCUUGACUUUGGGAUAACUUCAGGAAACUGGGGCUAAUACCGGAUAGGAGCUCCUGCUGCAUGGUGGGGGUUGGAAAGUUUCGGCGGUUGGGGAUGGACUCGCGGCUUAUCAGCUUGUUGGUGGGGUAGUGGCUUACCAAGGCUUUGACGGGUAGCCGGCCUGAGAGGGUGACCGGCCACAUUGGGACUGAGAUACGGCCCAGACUCCUACGGGAGGCAGCAGUGGGGAAUAUUGCACAAUGGGCGGAAGCCUGAUGCAGCAACGCCGCGUGCGGGAUGACGGCCUUCGGGUUGUAAACCGCUUUCGCCUGUGACGAAGCGUGAGUGACGGUAAUGGGUAAAGAAGCACCGGCUAACUACGUGCCAGCAGCCGCGGUGAUACGUAGGGUGCGAGCGUUGUCCGGAUUUAUUGGGCGUAAAGGGCUCGUAGGUGGUUGAUCGCGUCGGAAGUGUAAUCUUGGGGCUUAACCCUGAGCGUGCUUUCGAUACGGGUUGACUUGAGGAAGGUAGGGGAGAAUGGAAUUCCUGGUGGAGCGGUGGAAUGCGCAGAUAUCAGGAGGAACACCAGUGGCGAAGGCGGUUCUCUGGGCCUUUCCUGACGCUGAGGAGCGAAAGCGUGGGGAGCGAACAGGCUUAGAUACCCUGGUAGUCCACGCUGUAAACGGUGGGUACUAGGUGUGGGGUCCAUUCCACGGGUUCCGUGCCGUAGCUAACGCUUUAAGUACCCCGCCUGGGGAGUACGGCCGCAAGGCUAAAACUCAAAGGAAUUGACGGGGCCCCGCACAAGCGGCGGAGCAUGCGGAUUAAUUCGAUGCAACGCGUAGAACCUUACCUGGGUUUGACAUGGAUCGGGAGUGCUCAGAGAUGGGUGUGCCUCUUUUGGGGUCGGUUCACAGGUGGUGCAUGGCUGUCGUCAGCUCGUGUCGUGAGAUGUUGGGUUAAGUCCCGCAACGAGCGCAACCCUUGUUCACUGUUGCCAGCACGUUAUGGUGGGGACUCAGUGGAGACCGCCGGGGUCAACUCGGAGGAAGGUGGGGAUGACGUCAAGUCAUCAUGCCCCUUAUGUCCAGGGCUUCACGCAUGCUACAAUGGCUGGUACAGAGAGUGGCGAGCCUGUGAGGGUGAGCGAAUCUCGGAAAGCCGGUCUCAGUUCGGAUUGGGGUCUGCAACUCGACCUCAUGAAGUCGGAGUCGCUAGUAAUCGCAGAUCAGCAACGCUGCGGUGAAUACGUUCCCGGGGCUUGUACACACCGCCCGUCAAGUCAUGAAAGUUGGUAACACCCGAAGCCGGUGGCCUAACCGUUGUGGGGGAGCCGUCGAAGGUGGGA